rnacentral:rRNA from 1 species
GAUGAACGCUAGCGGCAGGCCUAAUACAUGCAAGUCGGACGGGAUUCAGGAGCUUGCUUCUGAUGAGAGUGGCGCACGGGUGCGUAACACGUAUGUAACCUACCUUUAUCAGGGGGAUAGCCUCUCGAAAGAGAGAUUAAGCCCGCAUAAAAUCACAGCACAGCAUUGUGUAAUGAUCAAAUAUUUAUAGGAUAAAGAUGGGCAUGCGGAACAUUAGCUAGAUGGCGGGGUAACGGCCCACCAUGGCGACGAUGUUUAGGGGAUCUGAGAGGAUGGCCCCCCACACUGGUACUGAGACACGGACCAGACACCUACGGGAGGCAGCAGUAAGGAAUAUUGAUCAAUGGGCGGAAGCCUGAACCAGCCAUGCCGCGUGCAGGAAGACGGCCCUACGGGUUGUAAACUGCUUUUAUACGGGAAUAAACCCAGAUACGUGUAUCUGGCUGAAUGUACUGUAAGAAUAAGGAUCGGCUAACUCCGUG